rnacentral:rRNA from 1 species
GACGAACGCUGGCGGCGUGCUUAACACAUGCAAGUCGAACGGAAAGGCCCUGCUUUUGUGGGGUGCUCGAGUGGCGAACGGGUGAGUAACACGGGAGUAACCUGCCCUUGACUUUGGGAUAACUUCAGGAAACUGGGGCUAAUACCGGAUAGGAGCUCCUGCUGCAUGGUGGGGGUUGGAAAGUUUCGGCGGUUGGGGAUGGACUCGCGGCUUAUCAGCUUGUUGGUGGGGUAGUGGCUUACCAAGGCUUUGACGGGUAGCCGGCCUGAGAGGGUGACCGGCAACAUUGGGACUGAGAUAAGGCCCAGACUCCUACGGGAGGCAGCAGUGGGGAAUAUUGCACAAUGAGCGGAAGCAUGAUGCAGCAGCGCCGCGGGCGGGAUGACGGCCUUCGGGUUGUAAACCGCUUUCGCCUGUGACGACGCGUGAGUGACGGUAAUGGGUAAAGAAGCACCGGCUAAUUACGU